ACUCCUACGGGAGGCAGCAGUGGGGAAUAUUGCACAAUGGGCGCAAGCCUGAUGCAGCCAUGCCGCGUGUGUGAAGAAGGCCUUCGGGUUGUAAAGCACUUUCAGUCGUGAGGAAGGUAGUGUAGUUAAUAGCUGCAUUAUUUGACGUUAGCGACAGAAGAAGCACCGGCUAACUCCGUGCCAGCAGCCGCGGUAACACGUAGGGUGCGAGCGUUGUCCGGAAUUAUUGGGCGUAAAGAGCUCGUAGGCGGUGUGUCGCGUCGGCCGUGAAAACUUGGGGCUUAACUCUGAGCGUGCGGUCGAUACGGGCAUCACUUGAUUCGGCAGGGGAGACUGGAAUUCCUGGUGUGCGGUGAAAUGCGCAGAUAUCAGGAGGAACACCGGUGGCGAAGGCGGGUCUCUGGGCCGAUACUGACGCUGAGGAGCGAAAGCU
rnacentral:rRNA from 1 species